rnacentral:rRNA from 1 species
AGUCUGGUGCCAGCAGCCGCGGUAAUUCCAGCUCCAAUAGCGUAUAUUAAAGUUGUUGUGGUUAAAAAGCUCGUAGUUGGAUCUCUGCUCUCAGGGGGCGGUCCGUUAUUUGACGCGACUGCCCCAUUUGAGAGUGUUUCUUCGGCGGAACUCCCGGGGUGCUCUUCGCCGAGUGUCCCGUUGGGGGCCGCCAGGUUUACUUUGAAAAAAUUAGAGUGCUCCAAGCAGGCUCGACACGCCUGAAUAUUUGUGCAUGGAAUAAUGGAAUAGGACGUCGUUCCUAUUUUGUUGGUUUUCGGGAAUCGACGUAAUGAUUAAUAGGGACAGCCGGGGGCAUUAGUAUUCAGACGACAGAGGUGAAAUUCUUGGACCGUCUGGCGACUCACUGCUGCGAAAGCGUUUGCCAAGUAUGUUUUCAUUAAUCAAGAACGAAAGUUAGAGGUUCGAAGGCGAUCAGAUACCGCCCUAGUUCUAACCAUAAACGAUGCCAGCUAGCGAUCUGCCGAUGUUUUUAUUGUAGGCUCGGCAGGAAGCUUCCGGGAAACCAAAGCGUUUGGGUUCCAGGGGAAGUAUGGUUGCAAAGCUGAAACUUAAAGAAAUUGACGGAAGGGCACCACCAGGCGUGGAACUUGCGGCUUAAUUUGACUCAACACUGGAAAUCUCACCAGGCCCGGACACCGGAAGGAUUGACAGAUUGAGAGCUCUUUCUCGAUUCGGUGGGUGGUGGUGCAUGGCCGUUCUUAGUUGGUGGAGUGAUUUGUCUGGUUAAUUCCGAUAACGAACGAGACUCCGUCCUGCUAAAUAGUUCCGACGUCACACGUGCGUCGGAAAUUCUUCUUAGAGGGACUGGCGGCAUCUAGCCGCACGAGAUGGAGCAAUAACAGGUCUGUGAUGCCCUUAGAUGUUCUGGGCUGCACGCGUGUUACACUGAAGGGAUCAGCGUGUCUUCCCUGACCGAGAGGUCCGGGUAACCCGCUGAACCCCCUUCGUGGUAGGGAUCGGAGCUUGCAAUUAUUCUCCGUGAACCAGGAAUGCCCAGUAAGCGCAAGUCAUAAGCUUGCGUUGAUUACGUCCCUGCCCUUUGUACACACCGCCCGUCGCUACUACCGAUUGAACGUUUUAGUGAGGUAUUUGGACUGGACCUCCGGAGGUUCGCGCCUCCGGUGCUGUUCGGGAAGACUCCCAAACUUGAGCGUUUAGAGGAAGUAAAAGUCGUAACAAGGUU